rnacentral:lncRNA from 1 species
GCGAAGUUGUCUUCCUGGCCUUACUACCGAAUCUUGGCAAAGGAUCAAUGGGUAAAAUCUGCUGGCGGGGUCACUCCAUUAUUCUUAUCUGUGGAGAUCUAGAUCUUGAUUUGAAAGUUUCUGAGAAAAUCUUCAGCUCAGACUUGAGGUCAACUUUACCAACUGAAGGAUCUGCAUUUACU